GACGAACGCUGGCGGCGUGCUUAACACAUGCAAGUCGAACGAAGUGGCGAACGGGUGUGUAAUACGUGCGUAACCUGCCCUCCUUUUUGGGAUAAGCCAUGGAAACGGGGUCUAAUACCGCAUAAAGGGGGAUGGGCUCGGGGCUUAUCAGCUUGUUGGUGGGGUGAUGGCCUACCAAGGCGGUGACGGGUAGCCGGCCUGAGAGGGUGACCUGCAACUGUGGUACUGAGAUACGGCCCAGAGUCCUACGGAGGGGGGCAGUGUGGGAUAUUGCACAAUGGGUGACGGCCUGAUGCAGCGACGCCGCGUGGGGGAUGAGGGCUUUAGGGUUGUAAACCUCUUUCGGAAGCGAACGGGUAGGUGGAGAAGAAGCGCCGGCUAACUACGUGCCAGCAGCCGCGGUAAUAC
rnacentral:rRNA from 1 species